AGCUGAUAGAAGGCUCUUUCAGUUCCUUAUUGAAAUGUCACCGUUGAUUAAUCCGUUUCUUUUAUAGCUUGCACCUUGUAAGAUUUUGUGCAAAAAUACAUUUGUCUAAGUGACUGCCGGAAAUGUUCUCAAGUUGGGUAUGAAAACAACGAGUUAUAUAUUCAUUUGAAGGUGAAGGUGAGAAGGUGGCGGUAAGCUGCCUUCUUGAGCUGCUGCAGUUCGUAGGGAUGCAGGGAUGGAAGCCUACACAGCCACCAGGAGAGGAAUUCCAGGAUUUUGACCCAGCCACAGACAUGUUUCAAGUCAGAAUGGAUGAAUCCACUCUCUCCCAUCAUCUCAUAAUCACAGAGUUACUGAGCCAGAGACUAUUCCAGUUAAGGUCACCUCAAAAUGGAAAUGCAAAAGAAGCCUUAAAACGCACAGAC